UAGAAAUGAAUAGACUAUCUGUAGCC
rnacentral:piRNA from 1 species